rnacentral:rRNA from 1 species
UAAUACGUAGGGGGCGAGCGUUGUCCGGAAUCAUUGGGCGUAAAGCGCGUGUAGGCGGUUUCGUAAGUCUGCUGUGAAAGUCGGAGGCUCAACCUUCGAAUGCCAGUGGAUACUGCGAGACUUGAGUCCGGAAGAGGAGAGUGGAAUUCCUGGUGUAGCGGUGAAAUGCGCAGAUAUCAGGAGGAACACCAACGGCGAAGGCAGCUCUCUGGGACGGUACUGACGCUGAGACGCGAAAGCGUGGGGAGCAAACAGGAUUAGAUACCCUGGUAGUCCACGCCGUAAACGAUGGUCACUAGAUGUGGGGGGUGUCGACUCCCUCCGUGUCGUAGCUAACGCGUUAAGUGACCCGCCUGGGGAGUACGGCCGCAAGGCUAAAACUCAAAGGAAUUGACGG